CGUGAAUGAAAUCACCAAUCUUAGAAAGAGUAGAGUGAAAGAAUUCAUGUAAUGUUUUUAAACUAGUUAUCUAACAAGGCCAAGUGGAAAUAAGAGAAGAACAAUGAAGUUUGGAAGAAAAUGUUAAGGAAUAGACAGCAAAAGGAUGAUGUUCAUCUAGGGAAGAAAUGUCUUGAGUAGGUCAAUAUAAUAGGACAAGGACGUGGAUCCUAGGUAUCUAGGGAGCGCUGUGAUGGAGAAGGCUUGUGACAAAAUUUAAAGCUGUCCUUCACUUGGGAAACAGGACACGGACAGAACAUCUAACUUCAGACAGCCAUCAGGGAGGACAAAGAAAGGGAAAAAAGAAGAGCUUGAUUGGCAGACAGUCCAGAUCCAUAGUGGAAGACCAUUCACUUGGUGAUCGAGCACUCUCCUGA
rnacentral:lncRNA from 1 species